CGGGCAAAAUGCGCUAUCGCUUCAAGCAAUUGAAGAGGAAAGUCCGGGCAACACAGAGCAAUGUGCCAUCUAACGGAUGGGUGCUUAUAUAUAAUGUAUAGGUAACAGAAAGUACCGCAGAGACAAACUACCAAGCAGCGGGCAACCACUGAAGGAAAAGGUGAAAAGGCGGUGUAAGAGACCACCGGCCCUUUGGCAACAAAGGGUGCUAGGUAAACCUCACAUGUUGCAAGGCCAAAUAGGUUGCACAGGCAAGCAAUUGCCACAUGGCUGCUCGUUAUGACGUGCAAUGGGUAGGCUGCUUAUGAUUGUAUUAGUGAUAAUACAGCUAGAUAAAUGAUAGAUAUAUGCUGAUUAAAUUCGGUAUGAAACAGAACCCGGCUUAUCAUUUUGCUAAACAA
rnacentral:RNase_P_RNA from 1 species